rnacentral:rRNA from 1 species
GACGAACGCUGGCGGCGUGCUUAACACAUGCAAGUCGAACGGAAAGGCCCUGCUUUUGUGGGGUGCUCGAGUGGCGAACGGGUGAGUAACACGUGAGUAACCUGCCCUUGACUUUGGGAUAACUUCAGGAAACUGGGGCUAAUACCGGAUAGGAGCUCCUGCUGCAUGGUGGGGGUUGGAAAGUUUCGGCGGUUGGGGAUGGACUCGCGGCUUAUCAGCUUGUUGGUGGGGUAGUGGCUUACCAAGGCUUUGACGGGUAGCCGGCCUGAGAGGGUGACCGGCCACAUUGGGACUGAGAUACGGCACAGACUACUAAGGGAGGCAGCAGUGGGGAAUAUUGCACAAUGGGCGGAAGCCUGAUGCAGCAACGCCGCGUGCGGGAUGACGGCCUUCGGGUUGUAAACCGCUUUCGCCUGUGACGAAGCGUGAGUGACGGUAAUGGGUAAAGAAGCACCGGCUAACUACGUG